rnacentral:rRNA from 1 species
GGGUCAGUAGGUUGGUCGUGCCACCGGUACGUACUGGUCUCACUGAUUCCUCCUUCCUGAAGAACCGUAAUGCCAUUAAUUUGGUGUUGCGGGGGAACAGGACUGUUACUUUGAAAAAAUUAGAGUGUUUAAAGCAAGCUAACGCUUGAAUACAUUAGCAUGGAAUAAUGAAAUAGGACGAUCGAUCCUAUUUUGUUGGCUUCUAGGAUUGACGUA